CCAGACUCCUACGGGAGGCAGCAGUGGGGGAUAUUGCACAAUGGGGGAAACCCUGAUGCAGCGACGCCGCGUGGGUGAAGAAGCGCCUCGGCGCGUAAAGCCCUAUCGGCAGGGAAGAAGCAAGACGGUACCUGACUAAGAAGCCCCGGCUAACUACGUGCCAGCAGCCGCGGUAAUACGUAGGGGGCAAGCGUUAUCCGGAUUUACUGGGUGUAAAGGGAGCGUAGACGGCGAUGCAAGUCUGAAGUGAAAGGCGGGGGCCCAACCCCCGGACUGCUUUGGAAACUGUAUAGCUGGAGUGCAGGAGAGGUAAGUGGAAUUCCUAGUGUAGCGGUGAAAUGCGUAGAUAUUAGGAGGAACACCAGUGGCGAAGGCGGCUUACUGGACUGUAACUGACGUUGAGGCUCGAAAGCGUGGGUAGCAAACAGGAUUAGAUACCCUCGUA
rnacentral:rRNA from 1 species